rnacentral:rRNA from 1 species
CCUACGUGAGGCAGCAGUGGGGAAUAUUGCGCAAUGGGCGAAAGCCUGACGCAGCGACGCCGCGUGAGGGAUGAAGGUCUUCGGAUCGUAAACCUCUGUCAGCAGGGAAGAACGGUCACUGUGCUAAUCAGCAGUGAAUUGACGGUACCUGCAAAGGAAGCACCGGCUAACUCCGUGCCAGCAGCCGCGGUAAUACGGAGGGUGCGAGCGUUAAUCGGAAUUACUGGGCGUAAAGCGCUCGUAGGCGGUAUGUCAAGUCAAGGGUGAAAUCCCCGCGCUCAACGUGGGAACGGCCUUUGAAACUGGCAAACUGGAGUGUGUGAGAGGAUAGUGGAAUUCCAGGUGUAGGAGUGAAAUCCGUAGAUAUCUGGAGGAACAUCAGUGGCGAAGGCGACUAUCUGGCACAUAACUGACGCUGAGGAGCGAAAGCGUGGGUAGCAAACAGGAUUAGAUACCCCAGUAGUC